rnacentral:rRNA from 1 species
UACGGAGGGGGCUAGCGUUAUCCGGAAUUAUUGGGCGUAAAGAGCUCGUAGGCGGUUUGUCGCGUCUGCCGUGAAAGCCCGGGGCUUAACCCCGGGUCUGCAUUCGAUACGGGCAGGCUAGAGUGUGGUAGGGGGAGAUCGGAAUUCCUGGUGUAGCGGUGAAAUGCGCAGAUAUCAGGAGGAACACCGGUGGCGAAGGCGGAUCUCUGGGCCAUUACUGACGCUGAGGAGCGAAAGCGUGGGGAGCGAACAGG